AGCAGCCGCGGUAAUUCCAGCUCCAGUAGCGUAUAUUAAAGUUGUUGCAGUUAAAAAGCUCGUAGUUGAAUUUCGGGAUUGACGUGAUGGUCAUGCCUUAAGGGGUAUGAACUGUUACUGUUGAUUUCUCACCUUCUGGAGAAACUUGAUGUCCUUUAUUGGGUGUCUUGCGGAUCCAGGACCUUUACCUUGAAAAAAUUAGAGUGUUUAAAGCAGGCAUUUUUGCUCGAAUACAUUAGCAUGGAAUAAUAGAAUAGGACGGCAUGGUUCUAUUUUGUUGGUUUCUAGGAUCACCGUAAUGAUUAAUAGGGAUAGUUGGGGGCAUUAGUAUUCAAUUGUCAGAGGUGAAAUUCUUGGAUUUAUUGAAGACUAACUACUGCGAAAGCAUUUGCCAAGGAUGUUUUCAUUAAUCAAGAACGAAAGUUAGGGGAUCGAAGACGAUCAGAUACCGUCGUAGUCUUAACCAUAAACUAUGCCGACUAGGAAUCAGACGAUGUUAAUUUUUUAAUGACUCGUUUGG
rnacentral:misc_RNA from 1 species